UGUACCACACGGAGGUAUUUCAGCAGGAGCCGGAAGUGAGUUAAAGUUGUGGCAACGCGCGGAAUAGCUGAAGUUCUGAGUUAAUUUAGUAUUUGUGGAAGAUUUGUGAGUUUAUUCAGGUAAACAUGGCGUCUAAACGUAAAUGUGACGCCACGGUUCCUGCGGAGGAAAGUGACCAACUGCUCAUCCGCCCGCUAGGAGCAGGACAGGAGGUGGGACGGUCCUGCAUCAUCCUGGAGUUCAAGGGACGAAAGAUUAUGCUGGACUGCGGGAUCCAUCCUGGUCUGGACGGGAUGGACGCUCUGCCGUACAUCGACCUGAUCGACCCGGCUGAAAUUGACCUGCUGCUCAUCAGCCACUUCCACCUGGAUCACUGUGGAGCUCUGCCCUGGUUCCUGCAGAAGACCAGCUUUAAAGGACGCACCUUCAUGACUCACGCCACCAAGGCCAUCUACCGCUGGCUGCUGUCCGACUACGUCAAAGUCAGUAACAUCUCUGCAGACGACAUGUUGUACACGGAGACGGACCUGGAGGAGAGCAUGGAGAAGAUGGAGACCAUCAACUUCCACAGUGCGGACGGUAACAAGUGGUGAACACAGCGCGGGCUCUUCAGUCUCCACCGACCCUGGGUCUCCCCGACUGUAACACACAUUUCACCCAGACUGUUGACGAAAAGGGGGGGUACAUGACCUCAGUACCACUACAAGACCAUGGGGGACGACUGAGACCUGUAGCUUAUUUUUCAUCCAAACUGGACUCUGUUGCAGCCAAACUGCCUGAGAGCUGUGGCGGCUGCUGAAAAAGCAGCCAUGGCAUCACGUGACAUUGUGGGUUAUUCAGACUUGACAUUGCUGGUUCCACAUGCUGUCGAUGAUUUUGCUUGAACAAAAAACAUCUCAUCUCUCCACAUCCAGGUGGCUGAGAUACAAGACCGUGUUGCUUGAUAUAUCUAACAUUACUGCACUGUACUGAAUCCUGCUACUCUCCUCCCAACUCCAGGUGAAGGACAGCCGCAUGGUUGUGUUGCAGUCAUAGCAGAAACCUGCUCUCUAAGGGCAGACUUGCAGGAGACUCCUGUAACAAACCCAGACAUGGAGUUGUUUGUGGACGGAUCAGCAUCACGUGAUCCAGCUCCUGGUCAAAAACGCCAUCCCGAAGGCCGUAGAAAAGAAACUGCACGAUCUGGAGCCAGGGGACUGGAUUGUGGGAAAGGACUUCAGGAGAAAGGGCUCGCAGGUGGACCGGGCCAUUUCAGAUACUGCUAACAACAGAAACAGCAGUAAAAGUGGCUGAAAGAGCAACUUGGAUUCACGCCACCCACUGCAAACGAGUGCCAAAGCAACCAAAAGGCCUCAAACCAGGCGAAGAUGGAGAUCAGUGAUUGAGCUGAGCUUUCCCCUGCCUUGUGUUCCUAGGGAGGGAGGGGAGUGGAGGUCUCUGAGACCACCUAGAACCACUAAUCUCCCAAACACUCACCGCGGGCACACUGAAACCAACAGAUGGCUCUGGAGAGGUGACAGACCGAGACAAAACGGAGGCGUUGUUCUGCUCACUGUCAUCAUUUCCAAACAUGAAAACAACAAACUUGGCCUGACUGAGGGAAAGUUCCAGGCCGAAGAGGAGGAGAUGCACGUCCUCCCUGACAGCCCGGCUGGGCUGAAAGACAAUGCAUGGUAUGCAACCACGAUGACCACUUCAAGAAAAGUAACCAAUCAGAGCUGUUAUGCGUGCGCACAGCUCCCUCAUGGAGUGGGGAACUCCAUACCAGUGAAACCCAGACCAAUAAAUGUUUCAGAGACACUAGGAGCCCUGUUAACCUUCACUCAAGGGUUUCCCAGGGUGGGCCGAGAAGUUAAGGAUAUGACCAAGACACUUAACUGUGUAACAUCAGCAUGGUCAACUUUAGGGUUAGGUUCUGGAACACGUCUCAGAUAACCACCAGAUGUACCUUGGACAUGGGUGUCUUUCUAUAGAUCCAGAUUGAGUGUCCCCUAGGGAACACUGAAAGACACCAUGUUCCUUUGAUGAGAUAGGACUCCGACCCUGAGACUAAGAUAAAAGCUGCAUGACCUGUUACGCUGCAGCUCACUCGGAUGAUACACUCGGAUGUGUAUGUGUCCCCUUGAAUUCCUUCUGCAGAAGACUUGAAUAAAAUUCACAGAAAGACAAGUGUUUGCUUUUUCCCACCACACCGUCUACAUUAAAUCGACUGAAAAUGCACAUCUAGUGGCCGUUCAUGUACACUGGGCAUGCACGUGCCAGUGUAAACUUGAGGCAGAUGGCGAUUUGGCGAAAGAAUAAAGUACUACAGACGAAGAACCGCAACAGGUUUUUAUUUUGCAUGGAACAAUAACAAGCUGGGACUGUUACUGAAUGCAACACGGGAGUUAAAAGCAGCGGUGGUGGCGGAAAACAGACUGGGAGUUGUCGCAAAGUAAACAUACACAGUAAGUGCAGGCUGUAAGUGUUAUUUGCACGGUACAGAAAAUUUUUAUAAAAAUACCACAACUAAAACUUUG